rnacentral:tRNA from 1 species
GCUAAAAUGGCAGAUAGAUGCGUAAGAUUUAGGAUCUUAUUAGGAAAACGUUAUUUCUUUUAGUA